GGCGCCAUCUUGUCUUGUUCGUGAAGAAGUAGAAGCAUCGGAAGGUUUGGAGAGGUAUUACAGGAACUGUGGCAACAACGGGGUUCCGGAACCAGAGUGGGGCAUAAGUAAUCUUGCUGCUAUGCUUCCAAGCUAUAGUCUGAAUCAACCUAAAUUUUAAACAGAAGGUGAACCUCUGAGAUUGAAAAUCAAAUAUAUUUUAAAAGUCAGGAUGUGGGAUCAAGGAGGACAGCCUUGGCAGCAAUGGCCCUUGAACCAGCAACAGUGGAUGCAGUCAUUCCAGCACCAGCAGGAUCCAAGCCAGAUUGACUGGGCUGCAUUGGCUCAAGCUUGGAUUGCCCAGAGAGAAGCUUCAGGGCAGCAAAGUAUGGUAGAACAGCCACCAGGAAUGAUGCCAAAUGGACAAGAUAUAUCUACAAUGGAAUCUGGUCCAAACAAUCAUGGGAAUUUUCAAGGGGAUUCAAACUUUAACAGAAUGUGGCAACCAGAAUGGGGAAUGCAUCAGCAGCCCCCACACCCCCCUCCAGAUCAGCCAUGGAUGCCACCAACACCAGGCCCAAUGGACAUUGUUCCUCCUUCUGAAGACAGCAACAGUCAGGACAGUGGGGAAUUUGCCCCUGACAACAGGCAUAUAUUUAACCAGAACAAUCACAACUUUGGUGGACCACCCGAUAAUUUUGCAGUGGGGCCAGUGAACCAGUUUGACUAUCAGCAUGGGGCUGCUUUUGGUCCACCGCAAGGUGGAUUUCAUCCUCCUUAUUGGCAACCAGGACCUCCAGGACCUCCAGCACCUCCCCAGAAUCGAAGAGAAAGGCCAUCAUCAUUCAGGGAUCGGCAGCGAUCACCUAUUGCACUUCCUGUGAAGCAGGAGCCUCCACAAAUUGAUGCAGUAAAACGCAGGACUCUUCCAGCUUGGAUUCGAGAAGGUCUUGAAAAAAUGGAACGUGAAAAGCAGAAGAAGUUGGAGAAAGAAAGAAUGGAACAACAACGUUCACAAUUGUCCAAAAAAGAAAAGAAGGCCACGGAAGACGCUGAAGGAGGAGACGGCCCUCGUUUACCUCAGAGAAGUAAAUUUGAUAGUGAUGAGGAAGAUGAAGACCCUGAAAACGUUGAGGCUGCAAGUAGUGGGAAAGUCACCAGAAGUCCGUCUCCAGUGCCUCAAGAAGAGCAGAGUGAGCCAGAGAUGACUGAAGAAGAGAAAGAGUAUCAAAUGAUGUUGCUUACAAAAAUGCUUCUGACUGAAAUUCUACUGGAUGUCACAGAUGAGGAAAUUUAUUACGUAGCCAAAGAUGCACACCGGAAAGCAACGAAAGCUCCUGCAAAACAGCUGGCACAGUCCAGUGCACUGGCUUCCCUCACUGGACUCGGUGGACUGGGUGGUUAUGGAUCCGGCGACAGUGAAGAUGAGAGGAGUGACAGAGGCUCUGAGUCAUCUGACACUGAUGAUGAGGAGUUACGGCACCGAAUCCGGCAAAAACAGGAAGCUUUUUGGAGAAAAGAAAAAGAACAGCAGCUCUUACAUGAUAAACAGAUGGAAGAAGAAAAGCAACAAACAGAAAGGGUUACAAAAGAGAUGAAUGAAUUUAUCCAUAAAGAGCAAAAUAGUUUAUCACUACUAGAAGCAAGAGAAGCAGAUGGUGAUGUGGUUAAUGAAAAGAAAAGAACUACAAAUGAAACUACGUCAGUUUUAGAACCAAAAAAAGAGCAUAAAGAAAAAGAGAAACAAGGAAGGAGUAGAUCAGGAAGUUCUAGUAGUGGUAGUUCCAGUAGCAAUAGCAGAACUAGUAGUACUAGUAGUAGUGUCUCUAGCUCUUCAUACAGUUCUAGCUCAGGUAGUAGUCGCACUUCUUCUAGAUCUUCUUCUCCUAAAAGGAAAAAGAGACAUAGUAGGAGUAGAUCUCCAACAAUUAAAGCUAGACGGAGUAGAAGUAGAAGUUACUCUCGCAGAAUUAAAAUAGAGAGCAAUAGGGCUAGAGUAAAGAUUAGAGAUAGGAGGAGAUCUAAUAGAAAUAGUAUUGAAAGAGAAAGACGAAGAAAUCGGAGUCCUUCUCGAGAAAGACGUAGAAGUAGAAGUCGCUCAAGAGAUAGGCGAACCAAUCGGUCCAGUCGCAGUAGGAGUCGAGAUAGGCGUAAAAUUGAUGAUCAACGUGGAAAUCUUAGUGGGAGCAGUCAUAAGCAUAAAGGUGAGGCUAAAGAACAAGAGAGAAAAAAGGAGAGGAGCCGGAGUAUAGAUAAAGAUAGGAAAAAGAAAGACAAAGAAAGGGAACGUGAACAGGAUAAAAGAAAAGAGAAACAAAAAAGGGAAGAAAAAGAUUUUAAGUUCAGUAGUCAGGAUGAUAGGUUAAAAAGGAAAAGAGAAAGCGAAAGAACAUUCUCUAGGAGUGGUUCUAUAUCUGUUAAAAUCAUUAGACAUGAUUCUAGACAGGAUAGUAAGAAAAGUACCACCAAAGAUAGUAAAAAACAUUCAGGCUCUGAUUCUAGUGGAAGGAGCAGUUCUGAAUCUCCAGGAAGUAGCAAAGAAAAGAAGGCUAAGAAGCCUAAACAUAGUCGAUCGCGAUCCAUGGAGAAAUCUCAAAGGUCUGGUAAGAAGGCAAGCCGCAAACACAAGUCUAAGUCCCGAUCAAGAUCAACAACCCCUCCCCGUCGUAAACGCUGAGGAAUGAUGUGGCAAGAAUGCCAUGAUGUUUAAAAAAUUCCAUGAGUUUUAAGGGCUUGUCUCAUUAUAGAGGCACAUUGUGGCUGUGUUUUUAUGGAUAAUUUAGAGAAUUCAUCACUUCACUGACAUGUAAUGAAGUAUGUUUACCUUAGGGGUAAGAUUUUAUAAAAUAGGGCUUCCAUGAUUUGGGAUAUGAAUGCUAACCCACACAUAAGUUAAUUAGAUAACAUAAUUUGGUUAUGAAAUCUAAAAUGACACCACCACAAAAUCAGUAGUUUCCAUUUUUGAGACAAUCAUUGGUCUGAAUUGGUUAAUAAAACUGUCUUGAGGUUCUCUUAAAAUAUUUCUAGUGUAUUAAUCAUACUUGUUUUUGUGGAAUGGGGGUAAACCACACCAUUAAGUGAAGAAAAUGUAACUUGGAAGAGGUAAUUAUAAGAUUUGUUUCAUGAAGGCCCCAAAAUAUAAAUAAAGAAUGGUGUGGAAUCACAGUGUAUAUGUUUUCUGCCAUUGUAAAAUGUCUUAUUUUAGCAUCUGCUUCUAAUGGUAUAAUACAUAAUAGGUGAACCUCCCAAACGUAGUCUAUUGUUUUUUAGUGUCUAAAUUAACUGUUUCUUCAAAGAAACAAAUGAAGUAUAAUUAAUUAGGUGAGAUUUCUUUCUUGUGGGAAUUUUUACAUAGGAAUUGUAUAAGGGCCAAAGUUCCUGUAAUACUUACUGUCUUGGAAACGUUUACAUUUUAACGGAUCUUUUCUUCUAUACAUUAAAGUCUAUUUUCACUUGUUGAAGUUUCUAAAAUGUACUAACCAUGGUUUAAUGGAAAUAUUAGAUUCAUUGACUUGUCCUGACUCUGCUGCUUAUUUUAUUUUGGGCAAAUCAUUUAAACACAAUGGGCUUCAAUUUCUUCAACUGUAGAAGGGUGGAAUUAGAUUAUUUUUAAGGUCUAAAUACUUCUAGCCCUUAAGUUUUUCAGUUUUAAGUGGAAUUUGACUGUAUUGUCUAAUCCUGAAUCAGAAAAUAGGGUUUUUAUUAACCCUUAACAUAACUCGUGUGAUGAGUUACAUUUUAUAUUGUAAAGAUUUAUCAGGUGUCUUCUAUAGACUUUUCCUGUAAAUACAUAGAUUAAAUCUGCCACAAUCUGAUUAUGGUAAUGUAAGUAAUUAUCCUGAGUUACCAAUUUAUGUGUAAAUAUGAAAAUUUACCAGUUAAAUUUCUAAUUUAUGUAUUAUCAUUUCAAAGGGAUCAAGCUAUUAGAUGUAUGGGAGUAAUACUUCACCCUUAAUUUGGAAGAGAAAAGUGGUUAUAAAAUUGAAUUUGAAAAUAUUAAGUAAAUUUUCAGUUUUUAUAGUAAACUAAAUUGUAGAUGCUGGUUUACAACACAUGGAUGAGACCAUAGCACUGGUCUGGGAAAUUAUCUCCAGCAUUGGUCACACACCACAUUACAACUGUUAGUCUUUCCAGCACAACUCCAGUUGAAGUAUCAUUGGAAAAGGCUUUCUGGUAUUUGUAAACUAUUAAGGGCUAGUUUUGCUUACCUGGGCCAAAGUAGUAGGUAUUCCAGAGGCUUUGGUUUCCUGUCUGUAUUAAAGGCAAAUUACUGAUUGCCUUUGUCCUUGAAUUGAAAAGGUAGUGGGAAGGUCCUGAAGCCCAAGAGAGUGGUACAUUCAAAGAAAGCACAUUUAAAUAAAGUUUUUAAAACUUUUAAAA